rnacentral:rRNA from 1 species
CUAUAAAAGUACAUACCUGCCCAGUGAAAUCUUAAACGGCCGCGGUAUCCUAACCGUGCAAAGGUAGACAUAAUAAUUUGCCUUUUAAUUUAAGGCUAGAAUGAACGGACUCACGAAGAAUUCUCUGUCUCUAUCGGGCCUCUAAAAAUUAAACUUCAGGUGAAGAUGACCUGAAUAAGUAUAAAGGACAAAAAGACCCUAUAAAGCUUCUACUGAAACUUUAAUAAAAGCUUAUAUAAUCUAAUAAAAAUCAAGUUUAGUAGGGGCGACAAAGGAGUUUAUACCCCUCCUCUUAUAAAAAGAAUAUAUCAUCCUAAAGAAAACAAUAUGGAUAAAGUAAAAGCUACUUUAGGGAUAACAGGCUAAUUUUCUAACGAGUCCAUAUCAACAGAAAAGUUGGCACCUCGAUGUGGCUUAGGAAUCUUCCAAUCGCAGCAACUUGGACAAGAUGGUUUGUUCAACCACUAAUAUCCUACGUGAUCUGAGUUCAGAC